CCUACGGGAGGCAGCAGUGAGGAAUAUUGGUCAAUGGACGGAAGUCUGAACCAGCCAAGUAGCGUGCAGGAUGACGGCCCUAUGGGUUGUAAACUGCUUUUGUAUGGGAAUAAAGUGAGGGACGUGUCCCUUUUUGUAUGUACCAUAAGAAUAAGGACCGGCUAAUUCCGUGCCAGCAGCCGCGGUAAU
rnacentral:rRNA from 1 species